GACGAACGCUGGCGGCGUGCCUAAUACAUGCAAGUCGAACGCAGUGGGGACGGGUGAGUAACACGUGGGUAACCUCCCAUCAGAGGGGAUAACACUUGGCAACAGGUGCUAAACCGAUACUGAUGGAUGGACCCGCGGUGCAUUAGCUAGUUGGUGAGGUAACGGCUCACCAAGGCCACGAUGCAUAGCCGACCUGAGAGGGUGAGCGGCCACACUGGGACUGAGACACGGCCCAGACUCCUACGGGAGGCAGCAGUAGGGAAUCUUGGGCAAUGGACGAAAGCCUGACGGAGCAACGCCGCGUGAGUGAAGAAGGUUUUCGGAUCGUAAAGCACUGUUGGUAGAGAAGCGGUAUCUGACCAGAAAGCCACGGCUAACUACGUGCCAGCCGCCGCGGUAAUAC
rnacentral:rRNA from 1 species